UGGGGCGCGAAGUAAGAAAUGACAGAACUAUUUUCCUUGAGAGGAAACGCCACUUGCAAAACGGUGGAGUUCAAGAUGCUUCACCUUGGACUGCCUCAUCAUAGAAGAUUACAGGCAGGGAAGAGUAUCCACUCUCCCACAUCACUACAGGUGCUGGUCAACAUUCAAGAACAUUCUGAUUUGAAGACUCAGAUUUACUUAUAAAAUGCACUGCAAGAAUGACAUCAUUGUGCAUUUUUCAAGUGAGUAUUUUCCAGCGGUUGGAUUUAUGCCAAAUAC
rnacentral:lncRNA from 1 species